rnacentral:rRNA from 1 species
UACGUAGGGGGCUAGCGUUGUCCGGAAUCAUUGGGCGUAAAGCGCGUGUAGGCGGUCCGGUAAGUCCGCUGUGAAAGUCGGGGGCUCAACCCUCGAAUGCCGGUGGAUACUGUCGGGCUAGAGUGCGGAAGAGGCGAGUGGAAUUCCUGGUGUAGCGGUGAAAUGCGCAGAUAUCAGGAGGAACACCGGUGGCGAAGGCGGGUCUCUGGGCCGUAACUGACGCUGAGGAGCGAAAGCAUGGGGAGCGAACAGG